rnacentral:piRNA from 2 species
GGGGCUGGAGAGAUGGCUCAGCAGUUU